rnacentral:rRNA from 1 species
GAUGAACGCUGGCGGCGUGCCUAAUACAUGCAAGUCGAGCGAACAGACGAGGAGCUUGCUCCUCUGACGUUAGCGGCGGACGGGUGAGUAACACGUGGAUAACCUACCUAUAAGACUGGGAUAACUUCGGGAAACCGGAGCUAAUACCGGAUAAUAUAUUGAACCGCAUGGUUCAAUAGUGAAAGACGGUUUUGCUGUCACUUAUAGAUGGAUCCGCGCCGCAUGAGCUAGUUGGUAAGGUAACGGCUUACCAAGGCGACGAUGCGUAGCCGACCUGAGAGGGUGAUCGGCCACCCUGGAACUGAGACACGGUCCAGACUCCUACGGGAGGCAGCAGUAGGGAAUCUUCCGCAAUGGGCGAAAGCCUGGCGGAGCAACGCCGCGUGAGUGAUGAAGGUCUUCGGUUCGUAAAACUCUGUUAUUAGGGAAGAACAAAUGUGUAAGUAACUAUGCACGUCUUGACGGUACCUAAUCAGAAAGCCACGGCUAACUACGUG